UUUCACAGGGCUGCUCAUUUCAUUGUUC
rnacentral:piRNA from 1 species